rnacentral:rRNA from 1 species
AUUGAACGCUGGCGGCAGGCCUAACACAUGCAAGUCGAACGGUAGCACAGAGAGCUUGCUCUCGGGCGACGAGUGGCGGACGGGUGAGUAACGUCUGGGAAACUGCCCGAUGGAGGGGGAUAACUACUGGAAACGGUAGCUAAUACCGCAUAACGUCGCAAGACCAAAGUGGGGGACCUUCGGGCCUCACACCAUCGGAUGUGCCCAGAUGGGAUUAGCUAGUAGGUGGGGUAAUGGCUCACCUAGGCGAAGAUCCCUAGCUGGUCUGGGAGGAUGACCAGCCACACUGGAACUGAGACACGGUCCAGACUCCUACUGGAGGCAGCAGUGGGGAAUAUUGCACAAUGGGCGCAAGCCUGAUGCAGCCAUGCCGCGUGGAUGAAGAAGGCCUUCGGGUUGUAAAGUACUUUCAGCGGGGAGGAAGGCGGUGAAGUUAAUAGCUUCACCGAUUGACGUUACCCGCAGAAGAAGCACCGGCUAACUCCGUGCCAGCAGCCGCAGUAA